rnacentral:rRNA from 1 species
UACGUAGGGUGCGAGCGUUGUCCGGAAUUAUUGGGCGUAAAGGGCUCGUAGGCGGUCUGUCGCGUCGGGAGUGAAAACUCAGGGCUUAACCCUGAGCCUGCUUCCGAUACGGGCAGACUAGAGGUAUGCAGGGGAGAACGGAAUUCCUGGUGUAGCGGUGGAAUGCGCAGAUAUCAGGAAGAACACCGGUGGCGAAGGCGGCCCACUGGAUCGGUACUGACGCUGAGGAGCGAAAGCCAGGGGAGCAAACGGG